AGAAAAAUAAGCUAAGUUUAAGCUCAUAGGUUCAUACCCUAUUUAUGGAGAUUACUCCUUUUUCUA
rnacentral:tRNA from 1 species